ensembl:misc_RNA Metazoa_SRP Metazoan signal recognition particle RNA
GCCAGGUGUGGUGGCUCACACCUGUAAUCCUAGCACUUUGGGAGGCCGAGGCAGGUGGAUCACCUGAGGUCGGGAGUUCAAGACCAGCCUGACCAACAUGGAGAAACCCUGUCUCUA